CCUACGGGAGGCAGCAGUAGGGAAUAUUGCUCAAUGGGGGAAACCCUGAAGCAGCAACGCCGCGUGGGGGAUGAAGGUUUUCGGAUUGUAAACUCCUUUUGUUAGAGAAGAUAAUGACGGUAUCUAACGAAUCAGCCCCGGCUAACUCCGUGCCAGCAGCCGCGGUCAUACGGAGGGUGCAAGCGUUACUCGGAAUCACUGGGCGUAAAGAGCGCGUAGGCGGGAUAGCAAGUCAGAUGUGAAAUCCUAUGGCUUAACCAUAGAACUGCAUUUGAAACUGUUAUUCUAGAGUAUGGGAGAGGUAGGUGGAAUUCUUGGUGUAGGGGUAAAAUCCGUAGAGAUCAAGAGGAAUACUCAUUGCGAAGGCGACCUGCUAGAACAUAACUGACGCUGAUGCGCGAAAGCGUGGGGAGCAAACAGGAUUAGAUACCCUGGUAGUC
rnacentral:rRNA from 1 species